rnacentral:rRNA from 1 species
AGAGUUUGAUCAUGGCUCAGAUUGAACGCUGGCGGCAUGCCUUACACAUGCAAGUCGAACGGCAGCAUGAUCUAGCUUGCUAGAUUGAUGGCGAGUGGCGAACGGGUGAGUAAUACAUCGGAACGUGCCCUGUAGUGGGGGAUAACUAGUCGAAAGAUUAGCUAAUACCGCAUACGACCUGAGGGUGAAAGUGGGGGACCGCAAGGCCUCAUGCUAUAGGAGCGGCCGAUGUCUGAUUAGCUAGUUGGUGAGGUAAAGGCUCACCAAGGCGACGAUCAGUAGCUGGUCUGAGAGGACGAUCAGCCACACUGGGACUGAGACACGGCCCAGACUCCUACGGGAGGCAGCAGUGGGGAAUUUUGGACAAUGGGCGGAAGCCUGAUCCAGCAGUGCCGCGUGUGUGAAGAAGGCCUUCGGGUUGUAAAGCACUUUUGUCCGGAAAGAAAUGGCUCUGGUUAAUACCUGGGGUCGAUGACGGUACCGGAAGAAUAAGGACCGGCUAACUACGUGCCAGCAGCCGCGGUAAUACGUAGGGUCCAAGCGUUAAUCGGAAUUACUGGGCGUAAAGCGUGCGCAGGCGGUUGUGCAAGACCGAUGUGAAAUCCCCGAGCUUAACUUGGGAAUUGCAUUGGUGACUGCACGGCUAGAGUGUGUCAGAGGGGGGUAGAAUUCCACGUGUAGCAGUGAAAUGCGUAGAGAUGUGGAGGAAUACCGAUGGCGAAGGCAGCCCCCUGGGAUAACACUGACGCUCAUGCACGAAAGCGUGGGGAGCAAACAGGAUUAGAUACCCUGGUAGUCCACGCCCUAAACGAUGUCAACUAGUUGUUGGGGAUUCA